AAGAGCAGCUCCACUUGCAGAGCCUCCUCCAGGGCAGCAUUUUCUGUGUGCCCUUGGUCAGGAGAGGAGCAAACCCGAGUUCAGUCUCUCCCCUUCAGCUGCUGCUUUGGGCACAAGAACUGAUGCCACAGUGCAUUAAAGGCAGUGGAGGAAUCUGCAGGGCCAGGCUGCAGGCAUCACAUCUGCACCAAGAGGAAGGAAUGACUCGGGAGCGUGGGCUGCUGUGAAGUAUCCGGGCAGGAAUAGAGAACUGGUGUUUUUCUGAGGAUUUCCUGAGUCUGGUUGUGGAGCCACGACUGUGCAGUGAUUUGUGUGUGUUGGGUCAGUGGAUUAAGGACUCUCCACUGCCUGUUUUGGAAAAGGGAACAUGAGAAAGCAUCAGGCAGUGUUUGAAAAGUCUUAGAGCAGGAGGAAACACUGGCUAGAGAGGAGUUGUGACCAUCCUUCUGCAAAGCACCUUCUGCUACCAAACCAACCUCCAACACCCCGUGUAAAACAAUUUCACAAGAGCCCUCAACACGCACGUUCUCAGGGUCACAGGGAGUUUUGGGUUUGGUUCUACGGAUUUCUGAGGAGACACAGCUCUGCAAGCACGAAAAGUUUUGUCUCUGUCAUCUCCUACUACUGAAAGAACCAGAACCUGGGUAUAAAUUCUGAGUUUCCCAAAAAGCAGUUCCUUUCAUGGUGCCUGGUCCCUCCA